GAUGAACGCUGGCGGCGUGCCUAAUACAUGCAAGUCGAGCGAACGGACGAGAAGCUUGCUUCUCUGAUGUUAGCGGCGGACGGGUGAGUAACACGUGGAUAACCUACCUAUAAGACUGGGAUAACUUCGGGAAACCGGAGCUAAUACCGGAUAAUAUUUUGAACCGCAUGGUUCAAAAGUGAAAGACGGUCUUGCUGUCGCUUAUAGAUGGAUCCGCGCUGCAUUAGCUAGUUGGUAAGGUAACGGCUUACCAAGGCAACGAUGCAUAGCCGACCUGAGAGGGGGAUCGGCCACACUGGAACUGAGACACGGUCCAGACUCCUACGGGAGGCAGCAGUAGGGAAUCUUCCGCAAUGGGCGAAAGCCUGACGGAGCAACGCCGCGUGAGUGAUGAAGGUCUUCGGAUCGUAAAACUCUGUUAUUAGGGAAGAACAUAUGUGUAAGUAACUGUGCACAUCUUGACGGUACCUAAUCAGAAAGCCACGGCUAACUACGUG
rnacentral:rRNA from 1 species